rnacentral:rRNA from 1 species
GGUUAAGCGACUAAGCGUACACGGUGGAUGCCCUGGCAGUCAGAGGCGAUGAAGGACGUGCUAAUCUGCGAAAAGCGUCGGUAAGGUGAUAUGAACCGUUACAGCCGGCGAUGUCCGAAUGGGGAAACCCAGUGCAAUUCGUUGCACUAUCGUUUGAUGAAUACAUAGUCAAACGAGGCGAACCGGGGGAACUGAAACAUCUAAGUACCCCGAGGAAAAGAAAUCAACCGAGAUUCCCCCAGUAGCGGCGAGCGAACGGGGAGCAGCCCGGAGUCUGAAUCAGCUUGUGUGUUAGUGGAAGCGUCUGGAAAGUCGCAGGGUACAGGGUGAUACUCCCGUACACUAAAACACACAGGUUGUGAACUCGAAGAGUAGGGCGGGACACGUGGUAUCCUGUCUGAAUAUGGGGGGACCAUCCUCCAAGGCUAAAUACUCCUGACUGACCGAUAGUGAACCAGUACCGUGAGGGAAAGGCGAAAAGAACCCCGGCGAGGGGAGUGAAAAAGAACCUGAAACCGUGUACGUACAAGCAGUAGGAGCCCACUUGUUGGGUGACUGCGUACCUUUUGUAUAAUGGGUCAGCGACUUAUAUUCUGUAGCAAGGUUAACCGUAUAGGGGAGCCGCAGGGAAACCGAGUCUUAACUGGGCGUUAAGUUGCAGGGUAUAGACCCGAAACCCGGUGAUCUAGCCAUGGGCAGGUUGAAGGUUGGGUAACACUAACUGGAGGACCGAACCGACUAAUGUUGAAAAAUUAGCGGAUGACUUGUGGCUGGGGGUGAAAGGCCAAUCAAACCGGGAGAUAGCUGGUUCUCCCCGAAAGCUAUUUAGGUAGCGCCUCGUGAACUCAUCUUCGGGGGUAGAGCACUGUUUCGGCUAGGGGGUCAUCCCGACUUACCAACCCGAUGCAAACUACGAAUACCGAAGAAUGUUAUCACGGGAGACACACGGCGGGUGCUAACGUCCGUCGUGAAGAGGGAAACAACCCAGACCGCCAGCUAAGGUCCCAAAGUCAUGGUUAAGUGGGAAACGAUGUGGGAAGGCCCAGACAGCCAGGAUGUUGGCUUAGAAGCAGCCAUCAUUUAAAGAAAGCGUAAUAGCUCACUGGUCGAGUCGGCCUGCGCGGAAGAUGUAACGGGGCUAAACCAUGCACCGAAGCUGCGGCAGCGACGCUUAUGCGUUGUUGGGUAGGGGAGCGUUCUGUAAGCCGUUGAAGGUGGCCUGUGAGGGUUGCUGGAGGUAUCAGAAGUGCGAAUGCUGACAUAAGUAACGAUAAUGCGGGUGAAAAACCCGCACGCCGGAAGACCAAGGGUUCCUGUCCAACGUUAAUCGGGGCAGGGUGAGUCGACCCCUAAGGCGAGGCCGAAAGGCGUAGUCGAUGGGAAACAGGUUAAUAUUCCUGUACUUGGUGUUACUGCGAAGGGGGGACGGAGAAGGCUAUGUUGGCCGGGCGACGGUUGUCCCGGUUUAAGCGUGUAGGUGUGUGUUCCAGGUAAAUCCGGUUCACUUUAACACUGAGGCGUGAUGACGAGGCACUACGGUGCUGAAGUGACAAAUGCCCUGCUUCCAGGAAAAGCCUCUAAGCAUCAGGUAACAUCAAAUCGUACCCCAAACCGACACAGGUGGUCAGGUAGAGAAUACCAAGGCGCUUGAGAGAACUCGGGUGAAGGAACUAGGCAAAAUGGUGCCGUAACUUCGGGAGAAGGCACGCUGAUAUGUAGGUGAAGUGAUUUACUCAUGGAGCUGAAAUCAGUCGAAGAUACCAGCUGGCUGCAACUGUUUAUUAAAAACACAGCACUGUGCAAACACGAAAGUGGACGUAUACGGUGUGACGCCUGCCCGGUGCCGGAAGGUUAAUUGAUGGGGUUAUCCGUAAGGAGAAGCUCUUGAUCGAAGCCCCGGUAAACGGCGGCCGUAACUAUAACGGUCCUAAGGUAGCGAAAUUCCUUGUCGGGUAAGUUCCGACCUGCACGAAUGGCGUAAUGAUGGCCAGGCUGUCUCCACCCGAGACUCAGUGAAAUUGAACUCGCUGUGAAGAUGCAGUGUACCCGCGGCAAGACGGAAAGACCCCGUGAACCUUUACUAUAGCUUGACACUGAACACUGGUCCUUGAUGUGUAGGAUAGGUGGGAGGCUUUGAAGUGUGGACGCCAGUCUGCAUGGAGCCAUCCUUGAAAUACCACCCUUUAAUGGCUGGUGUUCUAACGUGGGCCCGUAAUCCGGGUUGCGGACAGUGUCUGGUGGGUAGUUUGACUGGGGCGGUCUCCUCCUAAAGAGUAACGGAGGAGCACGAAGGUCAGCUAAUCCUGGUCGGACAUCAGGAGGUUAGUGCAAUGGCAUAAGCUGGCUUGACUGCGAGCGUGACGGCGCGAGCAGGUGCGAAAGCAGGUCAUAGUGAUCCGGUGGUUCUGAAUGGAAGGGCCAUCGCUCAACGGAUAAAAGGUACUCCGGGGAUAACAGGCUGAUACCGCCCAAGAGUUCAUAUCGACGGCGGUGUUUGGCACCUCGAUGUCGGCUCAUCACAUCCUGGGGCUGAAGUAGGUCCCAAGGGUAUGGCUGUUCGCCAUUUAAAGUGGUACGCGAGCUGGGUUUAGAACGUCGUGAGACAGUUCGGUCCCUAUCUGCCGUGGGCGCUGGAGAAUUGAGGGGGGCUGCUCCUAGUACGAGAGGACCGGAGUGGACGCAUCACUGGUGUUCGGGUUGUCAUGCCAAUGGCAUUGCCCGGUAGCUAAAUGCGGAAGAGAUAAGUGCUGAAAGCAUCUAAGUACGAAACUUGCCCCGAGAUGAGUUCUCCCUGACCCUUUAAGGGUCCUGAAGGAACGUUGAAGACGACGACGUUGAUAGGCCGGGUGUGUAAGCGCAGCGAUGCGUUGAGCUAACCGGUACUAAUGAACCGUGAGGCUUAACCUU